rnacentral:rRNA from 1 species
UACGGAGGGUGCGAGCGUUAAUCGGAAUUACUGGGCGUAAAGCGCACGUAGGCGGUCAGGCAAGUCGGGUGUGAAAGCCCUGGGCUCAACCUGGGAAUUGCAUUCGAAACUAUCUGACUCGAGUAUGGGAGAGGGAAGCGGAAUUCUUGGUGUAGCGGUGAAAUGCGUAGAUAUCAAGAGGAACACCUGAGGUGAAGACGGGUUGCUGGGCCAACACUGACGCUGAGGCGCGAAAGCCAGGGGAGCAAACGGG